rnacentral:lncRNA from 1 species
GAUCGAAUGUCACAUCUUUACUACAUAACAGGAGUUCUACACAAAAUAAAUAAAUAAUUACAUUAUAAGGAGACAACGGUCCAGCAACCCAAAGUUGACUGGGAGACGACGACCUAGACCUCUCACGAACACAUCACAGCAUCCUCCAAGCGCCUCAUCCAGCGGUACCUGUUCUUGACCUGUGGGGGGUGUGAGACAGCAAGAGUGAGCUCACAUACGUUCAUCGCUCAACAAGUUGUGGGGAAUAAUGUGCAUGAACUCGCCAAAGGUGGGAGCUCACGUGAAGUGUAAGGCUUACCAAAGAGGAUGGUUAGAGCUAAGCAUUGCUUUUAAAGUUGGUCAAAAUUUUAUUAGCAAUUACUAAGUAUAAGUAAAUACCAACCCAAUUAAGUAGUAGAACAAAAGUAACAACAUCACCUGCGAUGCAAUGCAUAUGACAAAUUGAAUUUAAGUUUCAUAAUUUAAUCAUCAGAGAGUCCUGAGCUGCUCAUGACCGUGAGCUCGGCUAGUAUACCAGUUUUACACUCUGCAGAGGUUGUACCCUUUACCCACAAGUCGUGUUACCCAUCUGCCAAGGGAUCGCGACUCCCCAUACACCUCUACCGAGGAGGCGAGGCAGGGUAACACUACGAGGCCUUUACAAAGUUCCACUAGCUUCAGAAAACCCGCUACAGUUUAUAGGAAGCUCCAAUGCAGGGUUCUUGCCUGACCGCCAUCGCAGCAAAAUCAAGCAAGGACCUCCCUACACUGACCACUCCCCUACUGCCCUUGCCCCUUUCGGGUAAGGUAGUCCUCCACUAGCUUUCCUAAUUAAUCAGCCAAGGGCGUCCAUAAACCCUUAUGGUGGCACAUGUUUCUCAAGUUAAGCUCUAUGUUCCAAUUAACAUUAAUGAUCUUGACAUGAACGGUAAAUAACAACGGAUAACAAAAGUAUAAUCAUGAAUAAUGUGUAUCUCAAUGCCCAAAACCACAUAUAGCACUAGCAAGUACUACCCAAAAAGUUCAGUGGUAAACAAGGUAUAAAUAUAAUCAAACUAGGGUAACCUAUUGGGUCCCAUCAAAAUUAACCUAUGCAGAUCAUUAUAAUUAAUUAGAACAUGAGUGGGUAAAAAGAAGUGAUCAAGGGCACAACUUGCCUGGGACUUGAGAUUCCCGGUACCAG